rnacentral:tRNA from 1 species
UAACUAAGAAGCUAAUAUGGAAUAGCAACAGCCUUUUAAGCUGAAGACAGGUGGCCCCCAACCACCCCUAGUGAA